rnacentral:rRNA from 1 species
UUUGAUCCUGGCUCAGGAUGAACGCUGGCGGUAUGCCUAACACAUGCAGUCAGCUUGAAGCAGUUUCGGCUGUGGAUGGUGGCGGACGGGUGAGUUACGCCUUAAAUAACUUGCCCUUUAGACUGGGACAACUGUUGGAAACGACAGCUAAUACCAGAUAUUAUGAAACCUUGGCAUCAAGGGAUUAUGAAAGCUAUAUGCGCUAGAGGAGAGAUUUGCGUCCUAUUAGCUAGUUGGUGAGGUAAUGGCUCACCAAGGCGACGAUAGGUAGCCGGCCUGAGAGGGUGAACGGCCACAGGGGGACUGAGACACGGCCCUUACUCCUACGGGAGGCAGCAGUGGGGAAUAUUGGACAAUGGACCAAAAGUCUGAUCCAGCAAUUCUGUGUGUUUGAUGAAGGCCUUCGGGUUGUAAAGAACUUUAAGUAGGGAAGAAGAAAGUGACGGUACCUACAGAAUAAGCGACGGCUAAAUACGUGCCAGCAGCCGCGGUAAUACGUAUGUCGCAAGCGUUAUCCGGA